rnacentral:rRNA from 1 species
CCUACGGGAGGCAGUAGUGAGGAAUAUUGGUCAAUGGGCGCGAGCCUGAACCAGCCAAGUCGCGUGAGGGAAGACGGUCCUAUGGAUUGUAAACCUCUUUUGUCGGGGAGCAAAAGACGCCACGCGUGGCGUUCCGAGAGUACCCGAAGAAAAAGCAUCGGCUAACUCCGUGCCAGCAGCCGCGGGAAUACGUAGGGGGCGAGCGUUAUCCGGAUUCACUGGGGGGAAAGGGAGCGUAGACGGCCGUGCAAGCCAGGAGUGAAAGCCCGGGGCCCAACCCCGGGACUGCUCUUGGAACUGUGCGGCUGGAGUGCGGGAGGGGCAGGCGGAAUUCCUGGUGUAGCGGUGAAAUGCGUAGAUAUCAGGAGGAACACCGGCGGCGAAGGCGGCCUGCUGGACCGCGACUGACGUUGAGGCUCGAAAGCGUGGGGAGCGAACAGGAUUAGAUACCCUGGUAGUC